rnacentral:rRNA from 1 species
UACGUAGGGUGCAAGCGUUAAUCGGAAUUACUGGGCGUAAAGCGUGCGCAGGCGGUUUUGUAAGACUGUCGUGAAAUCCCCGGGCUUAACCUGGGAAUGGCGAUGGUGACUGCAAGGCUAGAGUUUGGCAGAGGGGGGUAGAAUUCCACGUGUAGCAGUGAAAUGCGUAGAUAUGUGGAGGAACACCGAUGGCGAAGGCAGCCCCCUGGGUCAAAACUGACGCUGAGAAGCGAAAGCGUGGGGAGCGAACAGG